UUUCCGUAGGUGAACCUGCGGAAGGAUCAUUAUCGAAUUUCGAGGGGAAGGAAGAUGAGGAGUGGAGUCUGUCGCUGGCUUUCCCGCCUGGGAAGCAUGUGCACGCCUUGCUUUUCGUUGACCUUUCUCUUACUCUCACACCUGUGCACCCAUUGUAGGUCCUCGAAAGAGGAUCUAUGUUUUUAUCAUCACACGCAUCGUAUGUCCAUAGAAUGUAACAUGAUCGUCGAUCGACCUCGCGGUCGGGUGGCGGUCUAAAUAAAUAAAUACAACUUUCAGCAACGGAUCUCUUGGCUCUC
rnacentral:misc_RNA from 1 species